rnacentral:lncRNA from 1 species
GGGGGCCAAAAUCGCAACAUUUUAAAACUUAGGGGGCGAAAAGAGGAGUUUAGCCUUUUUUUUUUAUUCGCUUCAAUUCAAGUAUUCAACUCUUUUGGUCAUGUAUGCCCUUCCACUAAGAGCAUUUUUCAUAUCUUAUCUUGACCUUCAUCUUGAAUUUACUUAGUGUAACAACAAAGCUAACACUACCAUAAAAAAAA